ACACCCCAACCAGACCCCUUCGCUCGUCUACUUCUGCUAACUUGAUGGUCCUGCACACGAAAGAGCCCCGGAUGGUGAGCGAAUGACGCCCUUUUCUCGAUGAUGGAGCAGGUAGAGCCACGCUGAGCGACGGGUACAGAGGACAGGUUGGCGCUUCAUGUAAAGUUUUCAACCUUUUAUUUAUCACAAUCUGUUAUGUUACUUUGUAAAGUACUCCAGUAAAAUUUAUUAAAACAGUAUUCUCUUUCCAAAACAAGUUCAGAGCCAUCAUGCACUCCCUAUUGUAAAAAAAGGCAUUUAAUCUUUCAAUAAAAAAAACCCAAAUCAUAUUAAACAUAAUUCUACAAGAAUGCAUGUGGGAUCUUGGCUGAAGUGUAUUUAAGUGAAAUGAUUGUGCUAACUUUCGGAAUUAAGAAACGGGAUGUAGCGGAAAUUAAGACCACACUGCAUGAAUACUGUUAUGUUUUACUGAGUAAGCAAAGUGAUUUUUUUUUUUUUUUUAACUCCAUUUUUCAUUUUAGUUUUACAUGCAUUAAGAUAUGGCUGAUAACCUCCAGUAGAAGCAGCUUUCCCAGCAGCAUGAGUGGCUGAGCUACAGAACGUGUCAGGGCAGACGGGGGGGGGGGGGGGGGUUAGCAGCACGGCAACAGAAAGACAGGCCAGGGGAGGACACCGAGCCGGAGGCAGGACCUUGCUUUACCAUGCUGUUUACCGUCCUUUCAGGUUCGUCCAGCGGACACCCUGCGGUCCAGGCCCCAGUCCCAAACCCUCCCGUUACUCAGGUGUGUGAAAGCGUCCAGGGCUCCUACCCCCGAUUCGGAGGCCUAAGCCCUCCGCCUUGUAAGCAUCGCUGACGGAAUGUUCCAGAACUAUCGCGACACUCAUUCAUUCAUCUCAACAACUCAUUCACUCACUUGUUCGGUCUUGACGCCACCAGGCCGUUCGAACAACGUGAGCCUGAAAAAAAUUAACAUGAUAGAACAAAUAUACUGCUUUUUUUCUUUUUUUAAAAAUACAGCGUUUGACCGUAUUCCUUAGUAUACUUUCCAGACACUUAACAGGUUCAUAUACUGUAUAUGUAAAUAUAUAAAAUUUUAGUCUGUGCAAGGAGGGAAAAAAAAAAAAAAAAAAAACAAUCUUGAACAUAUUUCUCUGAGAUCAUGUGGAAAAGCUAAUAAUGCCUAGAAAUGCAUGUUUCACACGCAGCCUCACACUACGCACCUUCAGGGUCUCCAGCGUGACCUUGACACACACGCCCCGUCCUACAUUAACACGCUCAAAUCCGUACCCUAAACUCCUUGGAGCUUUGAGAUGGUUCCCCCACAGUCGCUACAAGCAGGUACAUAAUUUCUCUCAAAAAUGGAACAAUUUUUUUUUCCCCCUAUACAAUUCAUACAAAAAUAAAAAAUUUUAAUUGUUCCAAUGUUGAUCUACUUCUCGCUCUUAUUUUGCACAGAGGUAGCGGCUAUUUCUGCGAAAGGGUCGAGUUGGGGUGAGGGUGGAACGGAGAGUUU